CAGGCCUAACACAUGCAAGUCGAACGGCAGCACGGGAGCAAUCCUGGUGGCGAGUGGCGAACGGGUGAGUAACGCAUCGGAACGUGUCCUGUAGUGGGGGAUAGCCCGGCGAAAGCCGGAUUAAUACCGCAUACGACCUACGGGUGAAAGCGGGGGAUCGCAAGACCUCGCGCUACAGGAGCGGCCGAUGUCAGAUUAGCUAGUUGGUGGGGUAAAAGCCCACCAAGGCGACGAUCUGUAGCUGGUCUGAGAGGACGACCAGCCACACUGGGACUGAGACACGGCCCAGACUCCUACGGGAGGCAGCAGUGGGGAAUUUUGGACAAUGGGCGCAAGCCUGAUCCAGCCAUGCCGCGUGCGGGAAGAAGGCCUUAGGGUUGUAAAGCUCUUUUGCACGCGACGAUAAUGACGGUAGCGUGAGAAGAAGCCCCGGCUAACUUCGUGCCAGCAGCCGCGGUA
rnacentral:rRNA from 1 species